CAGCCGCCGCGGGAAUACGAAGGGUGCAAGCGUUAAUCGGAAUUACUGGGCGUAAAGCGUGCGUAGGCGGUUUGUUAAGUCUGUUGUAAAAUCCCCGGGCUCAACCUGGGAAUGGCAAUGGAUACUGGCAAGCUAGAGUGUGUCAGAGGAUGGUGGAAUUCCGCGUGUAGCAGCGAAAUGCGUAGAUAUGCGGAGGAACACCGAUGGCGAAGGCAGCCCCCUGGGCCAACACUGACGCUCAUGCGCGAAAGCGUGGGGAGCAAGCAGGAUUAGAUACCCGAGUAGUCCCUGUCUCUUAUAC
rnacentral:rRNA from 1 species